AGUUUCCAAAAGGAAGAGACGUAGCUUCACCCGCAGAAGCUGGAAAGGGGGCGUCACCAAAUUUUUCUGGAAGCCUCUAGGAGGGCCUCCUCUUUCCUUGCAAAGUUGAAGCAGCCGGGUCCACAGCGAAGGAUGGGUAUGGUCAUGCUAAAAAUCCCUCCUUCCUGGGUGAAAUCCGCACUCACAGAUGACCAGGACGGACACUCAGUGGGACACCCAGUGAAUACGCGUGCGUGUUCCUGCAGUCGAGAAAUAUGGGUUUAGUGGGCCUGGGAAGAGGACGAAGAGAACCUGUGCGUAAGUUAGAGAGCCCAUGAACAUCUCGACCUGAGUGCUGGGCUGCUAGGUGGGAGCAGGCGCAGAAUCCUGGUGGAGCAUCUCCCUGAACUCACACAGCAGUGCGAUUCCUCUUAAAAAACACCUUUCCUCCUCUUCCUCUUCUUUCCUCCCUCCCAUGUCUCUCUCUAGCUCUCUGCCUCUCUCUGUGCCUCUGUCUCUCCUCCCACGAGGCUGCCCUGCAGCUCCCUCUCCUCCCCCAUAAAGAAAUGCUCCACGUGAGAAACCCACACACACACACACCCGUGUAGUUUUGGUGGCCUUGGAAAACCUGGUAAAACAGAAAAGAUAUUCAAGUAGUCCGUCCAGCCACUAGGAUCCAGGGAGGAAACGGAUCUCCAGAGAGGGCACUGGCGUGUCUGAUGCCCCACAGUCGGGCACACUCGGGAUGACGCUAUUCUCUGGUAGGGUUUCUAAUUGUGUUUGCACUUAGAGCGCAACGCAAACAACAGAAAUAAACAAACGGAAGAAGGAGUGCCCCUCACCUCCCCCAUUUUGCCUCAUCACCAGCGUAGGACUGAGGUCUGGCAAGCGAAAGCCCAGAACACAGGAAUAAAAACCUGGUGACUUCGGUGGAGAUUUUCCUAUGGAAGCAAACAGGAGCUGGUCAGCCUUCUGGAGCAUCCCUCCCCUCCUGUGACUUAGCAUCGCUCUGGAGCUUGUCACCUUUACAAACACAGAUCUCUUUCUUCUGACUCCAGCAGGAGUCUCCCGAGAAGCUGCUCUGACAGCAUCCUUUCUGUAGUCAAGUCUGGGGGUGAACAGCUUAGCCUGUCCACCGCUAAGCCACCACAGCCCUGCCACCAGCUGGGACCUCGUUUUAUUCCAGCUUCUUUCCCUGCUGCACAAUACACAGACACCCAGAGAACCGACUUCUCAUUUGUAUCCAGAGCUUUACUUUUCCCGACAGCCUUUUCAUGGAACCACUGAGAUCCCAGAUUCUGUUAUAAACACUUCUGGUAUGGUCUUUCUGACCUUGUAAACCUAGUAAAUGGAAAAGAUGUUGAAGCAGUCGGUCCGACCACCAGAUUCAGAAUCACAGGAUCUUCAAAGUUUCUGUAGUGGGACCCGGGGAUAACUCGGAUACUUUAGAAUUCUUCAAAUUCAAGUCAACUAAAGCUAUUAGGAUCA